AAUUAUUAGCAAAGGCCAUGGAGACAAGGAGAAGACACGUUACAUGGAGGAAAUAUUAUGGCUGUCUUUGCAAAAUGGUGUUCCACAUGUAUGACACGGGUAGGUCAAGAUCCCACAACGUACUAUAAUUUCCGGCGUAUAAGCAGAGACUUUUUUCACACGCUUUCAACCCUGCGGUUUAUGCGGUGAUGCGGUUAAUUUGUGCAUUUUUUCCAAAGGUCGCAAGGGGGCAUUCGAGCGGAAAAGGAAAGGGUAAGACCAGUGGAAUAUGUGCGCCGAGGAAGUGGCUUUUACUGGUCCGGCCCUGUUAGCGCUGCGCUAGGGUGUUGCUGCCGUGUCUCAGUGAUUUUUACAGGACUGGGUGAGGCUUAUAACCAGGUGCGCUGUGUAGGCCAGGAAUUACGGUAGCCGCUGCGCUCAGUCCCGUGCUCUUUGUUGCCUUGCGGUUGAUGCAAGCUGUAAGUGGUGCUCUGCCGCACCUGCGAUUCCUGGGAGAACACACACACAAAGCAUGCACAAGGAUCAAACCAAUGAUGACCUGUGGACGCCGUACAACGGAACCUCAAAAGUGGACCACCUGCAACCGACUGGCUGGAAUUGAUUAUUUAAUAUGUUUCCAAAGCGAAAUGGUGAAAAUCCGAGGAUAUACAGUGGGCAUGAUUUAGAUUUUGUGCCAGGAUUGAAAACCCGGAGGACUGAAGAGAAAAACAAUGGCUGUCAAAUAAAGUGUCGGUG